rnacentral:lncRNA from 1 species
UCUGCUGCGUGACCUCAGCCCUCCCGCCUGCCGAUGGGAGCUGGGUCAUCUCUUACGCCUUUCAGCUUUGGCUUCUUCCGCAGUGUAUGUGAAGGGGUCACACAGAGCAUCCAGCGGUCACCAUGGUGAACAAGAAGCCAGGAAGGAAGGAAGCAAUGUCGGCAAAAGGGCUCAGAUGACAACCAAACAGAACGGUUUCCCACCCUGGGCCUCCUUUCCACACACACAGCAUCGUGGGUAUUUUAAAAUAAACAAGAUCAACGUCCAAACCUG